AAAACCACACAGAGGAGAGCUAAUCGGGGAGAUAACUAUUUGCUGUGCUGUAGGAGAUUACCAAGAGGGUUAACUGCUGAGCCCAGGUUUUCAGAAGGGCACUGAACUGUUCCAGGGCCUGCUCCAGUUGAGCCACUUGGCCUGAGAAUUCCUGCUCCGAAAGGGCCAUCUGGCUGACCAGGUUCUCCAAACAGCUCUGCGUUUGGAAUACACUGUCUUCCCACUGCUUCCAGUCGGCACGCAGGGCCUGCAUCUCCGUGUGCAUGAGCUCACACCCACUGGCAGUUGUGUUCUGUUUCACUUCGGGAGCCAGCGACUCCACUCUGCUGAGACGGCUUGCACCAAUCUCUCUGGAAUCUAUCAGCUCCUGUAAUGGAAUAUCACCAUGGUAACUGAAGAGCCUGUGAGUCACUUGGACUGCAAGUUUUCAACUGUGUACACAGGGGGACCCUGUCCUGCCAGGAAGUUUUAACAAGUGUGCCACAAGGACCCAGAAUCAAUUCAUCUGUCCACUCUUAAAUUAUAAUAGCGGGAGUUGUCAUCACGAGUGCCUAAGGCUUAUGGCAAAAAAAUCCCGAGAAUCCUCAAUAUCCUGAAACAGACUAAACAGAGACCCUGAAAUCAGGCAUUAUUCGCACACGUGAAAAUGUUUAGUGACUCAAGUGUUUGCCUGUGGUGGAUUGCUCCUGUGAAUGAUUAAACCCAUAUUUCCCUCAAA